UUUCAGGCCUUAAAGGUGUCAUCAACAGUCUUUCACUCCCACACUGAUUAACAAACCCCAACCCCACCUCAAACACACCCAAAUCCCAUAUAUAGAAUCACAAAGCCCCAAAUCCUCAGAUCUGUUUGACAACGAAUGCGAGAAAGUUCUCCAAAAAAGUUAGCAAGGAAUUUUUCUUUUAAA